rnacentral:rRNA from 1 species
CAGUCGAGGGGCAGCGCAGUGUAGCAAUACAUGGGCGGCGACCGGCAAACGGGUGCGGAACACGUACGCAACCUUCCUUCAAGCGGGGGAUAGCUUUCGGAAACGAAAAUUAAUACCCCAUAGCAAUAUCUGAGGGCAUCUGAGGAUAUUUAAAGAUUUAUCACUUGAAGAUGGGCGUGCGCCUGAUUAGGUAGUUGGCGGGGUAACGGCCCACCAAGCCUACGAUCAGUAACUGGUGUGAGAGCACGACCAGUCACACGGGCACUGAGACACGGGCCCGACUCCUACGGGAGGCAGCAGUAAGGAAUAUUGGUCAAUGGACGCAAGUCUGAACCAGCCAUGCCGCGUGGAGGAUGAAGGUCCUCUGGAUUGUAAACUUCUUUUAUCGGAGAAGAAACCCCUGAAUUCUUUUAGGGUUGACGGUACCCGAUGAAUAAGCACCGGCUAACUCCGUGCCAGCAGCCGCGGUAAUACGGAGGGUGCAAGCGUUAUCCGGAUUCACAGGGUUUAAAGGGAGCGUAGGUGGGCUGGUAAGUCAGUGGUGAAAUCUCCGGGCUUAACUCGGAAACUGCCGUUGAUACUAUCAGUCUUGAAUGUUGUGGAGGUAAGCGGAAUAUGUCAUGUAGCGGUGAAAUGCUUAGAUAUGACAUAGAACACCGAUAGCGAAGGCAGCUUGCUACACAAUAAUUGACACUGAGGCUCGAAAGCGUGGGGAUCAAACAGGAUUAGAUACCCUGGUAGUCCACGCCCUAAACGAUGGAUACUCGACAUACGCGAUACACAGUGUGUGUCUGAGCGAAAGCAUUAAGUAUCCCACCUGGGAAAGUACGACCGCAAGGUUGAAACUCAAAGGAAUUG